GGGCGCGGUGGUGCGCGCCUGUACUCCAACGCUACCGGGAGGCUGGAGGACCAUUUGAGCUCAGGAGCUCUGAGCUGCAGCGACUAUCGGGUGUCCGUACUAAGUUCGGAAUAGAUGUGGUGCUCCUGGGGCCACCAGAUCGUCUCAGGAGGGGUGCAUCGACCCAGGUCGGCAACGGAGCAGGUCAAAGCCCUCAUGCCGCUCAGUAGUGAAAUCGCGCCUGUGAAUAGACGCCGUAGUUCUGCCUGAGCAACGCAACAUGACCCAGUCUUUU
ensembl:misc_RNA Metazoa_SRP Metazoan signal recognition particle RNA